GGGUUGCAUGGCAAGGAUGUAGUCCUGUGCAAAUAUAGAUAGGAGGAAACACCACUGAGUUUAAUGAGAAUCUUCUAAGCAAACAUUCAUAGGUUUGAGAUCCAAGACUUAAAUCUUACCUGAGAGUAAGCUCAUUGGACACAGUAGGACUUACAUCUGAGUAAACACACAACAGGAUUAGGCUGUGUAAAAAAACAAAAAAGUUUUAUGGGAGAAAAAUAGUUUUGUGAAUCCACUCUUGCCUAAGGUAAGGUGGUUGAUGUUAUGGAUAAAAUGUAUAAACACUGACAAAUUUUUAGCCAAAAUGAAAAGGGCAGGUAGUUCUGGGUUGUUGUUUUUUAAAAAAAAUCCAAAGAACCAAGGUCAGAUAAAAGAGGUUUAAUAAGAAAAAAGAACACAAAUUCUUUGGAAGAAAUUCCUGCCAGGCAUCAUAAAGAGGAGCUGUACAGUAUCUCUUGUCAUGUGCUAUGGGACUGAGCAUUUAACAUAACACCACAACAGCACAGAAGUGCAAUUUGUCACUUCUAUCAGUGUUUUUGAGUGGGGAUGGCACCUUGUAAGGAGAUUAGAGGGAAGAAAGGAAAGGCUCUGAAGCAGACUUCUCACUAGCCAGAGAAAAGGCCGGCAGCUCAGGAUUCUUCUGAAGGAGAUGAAGCACCCAGAAUUUGAGCUGUCCUGGCUAGAUUGGAGGCUAUGGAGUGUGUGCCAGUCCAUGGUAUCCGCAAAGCUCUUCUCCAACACCACAUUUCAAGGAAGCUCUGGCCAAUGAAAUAAGCUGGGAGAUGGCUGGUGCACAAGUAGCAACUGAAUACUCAUAAGAGCUCAUAAUCAUGCCUACUGUGUGAUGGUGAAUGCAGUGAAGAAGGCCUACUUUACCACCUCCGUUGCAUCCUUGAGUAAUCAUCCAACAAAGCUUUUCAAAGUGAUACAAAGAUUGCUUUCAUCUAUUCGGGUGAACCCAGUUUUGGAGCCCUUGGAUGCCUGCUGUGACAAUUGGUCAAAGUGGAUGAGAUGUAAAGGCACAGGGUAAAUUUCAGAGUGGAUUAAGCCUUCCAAACUGCAGUCUGAUUGACCCAGGAGGUAUUUGUGGGGGAAGUAAAUGGAAUUAACUUUAUUCUGUAAUUCCUUCUGGGAGAGAGGGAGCAGGGCUUUGUCUCUUGUGCUUCCUCACAUUAAAGCAAUUGGGAGGUGGCUGAGUGAUGUGUAUUUGUGUGUCUCUGUGUUAAAAAUGCAGUUUUACCUCAGGUUCUGGUGCCUUUCAACUGAUCUUACAGGCCUUGUCUGUAUCCUCUAAUAGCUCAUAGGCUUUCAAUAUAAGCCUUACAAAGUGAUGCUAUCUAGAACACUACCUAUGGAGUUCUGAAGAGUUUUGGACGUUUUCUGUUGUUGUUAUUGAACCAAAAGCAAUGUAGGACUUAAUACAAAAAAAGUAAGUGAAGUGCUUAACUUUUUUUAAAAAAAAUCCAGUGCUAAUUUUCACACUAGCAACCAUGCAAGUGAUUUUUCUAAUCCACCUUUAUUGCUUCUGGUGUAAUACCUCACCGCAAGUAGAACAUUCCAGUUGAGCAGCAGAUGUGGGUACAGUUCAGGCAUGUCUGUUCCAGGGAGACACAUGAGCAAGAGUGUGGUUAAUUUUGUGUCACUGUAUUGAUGGAAUCAGAUGGAAUGUUCUUAAUCUGGCCACAGGAGUUCCAUAUAAUAUCUGGAGAGGCUUUCCAUGAGAAGUGUAACAGAAUGUGUACACACCUAAAUUUUCAACUAGCAGUACUUUACUGCCACAUUAAAUUGACCUUUACUUUCGUUUUGACUGUAUUUCUUAAUUCUCUUGAGAACAUUCUGCUGUUGUUCAUCUCUAACUCCUUCCUGUUGUUAAAAACAAAACAAAACUUCCUUUCCUGCCUGAGAAACUAGAAAAAAUAAUCUAAUACUCCCACCACGUUCAGGGCCCCCAUUUUGUAUGUUGUCAUCAGAUUGUGGUGUUUUAUUUCUAAUGUAAAGCAAUA